rnacentral:lncRNA from 1 species
AAGGAAGAAAAAUUGAAGCAAGUUUGGAGAAGAUUAGAGUAGCUUGAAGUUGAAGCUCUCUCUAAUGGUGGAAGCAAGCUUUCCAAUAGUGGAUUUAGCUUGAUGUGAAUGGUGGUCUAAGGUGAGAUCUCAUAAUUUAAGCUAGGAUUUGGUUUAAUCCUUAAUGCUUAGUGUUCCAAUAGCCUCUAAUGUGUUGAUUAGCAUGUUAAAUCCAUUUAAUUUGGGUUAAUUGGAGCAUGUGUAGAGGCUAGGUUUAUAAUGAUAGAUCUUAAGAGCUUUAAUUAUAUGCUCUAAGAAUGGAUUUAGAGGAAUCCUUAGAUGCUAAAUGGAUGACUAUUGCAUGAAUUAAGGGAUCAUAUGAUGAAUUCUUGCAAUAGUGUAUCUUAAGGCUCAAAAAUGGGAUUUUGUAAAAUAGUAGGGUUUGAUCUCAUUUGACCCUCCGUAAACCUAAUUGCUAGGUAAACGAACGCGUUGGCGAAGUCGGUUCGGCGAUUCGUCGAGCCGUUGCAAAGUUAUUAAAGAAACGGAUGUUUAGGCUUCGUUUCCGCCUGGAAGGCCGAGGCGACUUCCAAAAAUCAUGAGGUUGGAUCUGAAGCAUCGUGGUAGCAUGCCGAAGAGCUUCUGCACUUAAAACUGCGAAGCGGACGCUCUUGUAGCGCAACUGUAAGAUUGGGCCCUUAGCGGGUGCUGAGUGUCGCAGGUAGCGAACCGGGCGGCUAAAAAUCCCGAGAAAUUUAUCAUAGCACCUUAGAGGACCUACGAGGUGGGUGGUGCUUUCCAAACUCAUUGAAAUUCUCUCUAUGCCUAAUGUGUCAUUCUUUGAGCAUAUGUUCUAUAUAUUGUUGCAUGCAUUUUAGGGUAAAGUAAUGAUGAAAUGUGAUGAUUGCAUGAUUGUGAGCACAACUUGCAUAAUGAGAUGGUUGAGAACCUAAUAAUGUCAAAACCCUAGAUGUAUGCAUGAUAGAAAAUGUGAGCACCCAAAGUGAGCAAAAGAACAGAGUGACACUGUGACAUAGAUCGAGUGGCAUCUAAAUAAUGUAAAGUAAAGUGACACUAGAGUUAGUGUGAAGCAAAGAAUCGAAGUGAUAUAAAGAAUGAUGACGAUCACUAAAGCUAAAGCAAAGAGAGCAAUAAAGAACGUGUAAAGCUAAAGAAUGUGAUUGCUAGAGUUAGCAAAAGUAAAAGAAAUGCAAAGAGCAAUGAUUGCUAGAGUGGCAACAUAAAGUGAUGUAAUGAACACUAGAGUUAGUGUAAAGUCAAGAUUGAACAUACAAUCCUUUGAGUUAAGGAUUUCGAUCAUGCUUGCUAUGAGUUCCGUGCUCGAGGGCGGUCGCUCCCCCUCGGGCGAUGCGCUCCGGAGUUAUGCAUCCGGGUUGGAGUAGACCCGUAAGGACGGUCCUAGCUGGUGAGUACCUGCGAUGAUGGACUUAA